rnacentral:rRNA from 1 species
GGAAUAUUGCGCAAUGGGCGAAAGCCUGACGCAGCCAUGCCGCGUGUGUGAAGAAGGCCCUAGGGUUGUAAAGCACUUUCAAUUGGGAAGAAAAGUUGGUCGUUCAUAGCGGCCAGCCCUGACAUUAACUUUAGAAGAAGCACCGGCUAACUCAGUGCCAGCAGCAGCGGUAAUACGGAGGGUGCGAGCGUUAAUCGGAAUUACUGGGCGUAAAGCGCGCGUAGGCGGUUGUUUAAGUCGGAUGUGAAAGCCCCGGGCUCAACCUGGGAACUGCAUUCGAUACUGGGCGACUAGAGUAUGAAAGAGGGAGGUAGAAUUCCAUGUGUAGCGGUGAAAUGCGUAGAUAUAUGGAGGAAUACCAGUGGCGAAGGCGGCCCCCUGGUUCAAUACUGACGCUGAGGUGCGAAAGCGUGGGGAUCAAAC